AUUGAACGCUGGCGGCAUGCCUUACACAUGCAAGUCGAACGGUAACAGAUCUUCGGAUGCUGACGAGUGGCGAACGGGUGAGUAAUACAUCGGAACGUGCCCGAUCGUGGGGGAUAACGAAGCGAAAGCUUUGCUAAUACCGCAUACGAUCUACGGAUGAAAGCAGGGGACCGCAAGGCCUUGCGCGAACGGAGCGGCCGAUGGCAGAUUAGGUAGUUGGUGGGAUAAAAGCUUACCAAGCCGACGAUCUGUAGCUGGUCUGAGAGGACGACCAGCCACACUGGGACGGGGACACGGCCCAGCAUCCUACGGGAGGCAGAAGUGGGGAAUUUUGGACAAUGGGUGAAGGCCUGAUCCAGCCAUGCCGCGUGCAGGAUGAAGGCCUUCGGGUUGUAAACUGCUUUUGUACGGAACGAAAAGACUCUGGUUAAUACCUGGGGUCCAUGACGGUACCGUAAGAAUAAGCACCGGCUAACUACGUGCCAGCCGCCGCCGUAA
rnacentral:rRNA from 1 species